CGGCACUGGCCCUAGCCAGGCUAUCGGGCCAGGUUUUUUGGCCCAGGACCUAUUUGUUUAGACCUGGCCCAUUGCCAGCCCUUUUUCUUGUGAUGGGGGAACAAAAUUUUUAACUGAAGUUCAUUUGAUUUAGGAAACUUUCUACGUGGAGUUUUCAGUUACAUUGAAGUACAACUAUUAAUACAUGGAUACGGUUUCUAUACGG
rnacentral:lncRNA from 1 species